GAUGAACGCUGGCGGCGUGCCUAAUACAUGCAAGUCGAGCGAACAGACGAGGAGCUUGCUCCUCUGACGUUAGCGGCGGACGGGUGAGUAACACGUGGAUAACCUACCUAUAAGACUGGGAUAACUUCGGGAAACCGGAGCUAAUACCGGAUAAUAUAUUGAACCGCAUGGUUCAAUAGUGAAAGACGGUUUUGCUGUCACUUAUAGAUGGAUCCGCGCCGCAUUAGCUAGUUGGUAAGGUAACGGCUUACCAAGGCAACGAUGCGUAGCCGACCUGAGAGGGUUAUCGGCCACCCUGGAACUGAGACACGGUCCAGACUCCUACGGGGAGCAGGAGUAGGGAAUCCUCCGGCAUGGGCGAAAGCUUGACGGAGCAACGCCGCGUGAGUGAUGAAGGUCUUCGGAUCGUAAAACUCUGUUAUUAGGGAAGAACAAAUGUGUAAGUAACUAUGCACGUCUUGACGGUACCUAAUCAGAAAGCCACGGCUAACUACGUG
rnacentral:rRNA from 1 species